UACGGAGGAUUCAAGCGUUAUCCGGAUUUAUUGGGUUUAAAGGGUGCGUAGGCGGACUGUCAAGUCAGCGGUAAAAUUGAGAGGCUCAACCUCUUCCCGCCGUUGAAACUGGUGGUCUUGAGUGGAUGAGAAGUACGCGGAAUGCGUGGUGUAGCGGUGAAAUGCAUAGAUAUCACGCAGAACUCCGAUUGCGAAGGCAGCGUACCGGCAUCCAACUGACGCUGAGGCUCGAAAGCGUGGGGAGCAAACAGG
rnacentral:rRNA from 1 species